GUCUGCCUCUGCAGUGCGUCCUCUGGGGCUGCUUGCUGACCGCUGUCCAUCCAGAACCACCCACUGCAUGCAGAGAAAAACAGUACCUAAUAAACAGUCAGUGCUGUUCUUUGUGCCAGCCAGGACAGAAACUGGUGAGUGACUGCACAGAGUUCACCGAAACAGAAUGCCUUCCUUGCGGUGAAAGCGAAUUCCUAGACACCUGGAACAGAGAGACACGCUGCCACCAGCACAAAUACUGCGACCCCAACCUAGGGCUUCGGGUCCAGCAGAAGGGCACCUCAGAAACAGACACCAUCUGCACCUGUGAAGAAGGCCGGCACUGUACGAGUGAGGCCUGUGAGAGCUGUGUUCUGCACCGCUCAUGCUCACCCGGCUUUGGGGUCAAGCGUAUUGCUACAGGGAUUUCUGAUACCAUCUGCGAGCCCUGCCCAGUCGGCUUCUUCUCCAAUGUGUCAUCUGCUUUCGAAAAAUGUCACCCUUGGACAAGCUGUGAGACCAAAGACCUGGUUGUGCAACAGGCAGGCACAAACAAGACUGAUGUUGUCUGUGGGCUGGGACUAGAAUGAGGUGAGCAAGGCACUUUCCCUCGGGUGCAAUAUUUAAGAAGGUGCCAUAAAAGUGUAGUAAUCAAGGUCCCCAGGAUCGGCUGAGAGCCCUGGUGGUGAUCCCCAUCAUCUUCGGGAUCCUGUUUGCCAUCCUCUUGGUGCUGGUCUUUAUCAAAAAGGUGGCCAAGAAGCCAACCAAUAAGGCCCCCCACCCCAAGCAGGAACCCCAGGAGAUCAAUUUUCCCGACGACCUUCCUGGCUCCAACACUGGCGCUCCAGUGCAGGAGACUUUACAUGGAUGCCAACCGGUCACCCAGGAGGAUGGCAAAGAGAGUCGCAUCUCAGUGCAGGAGAGACAGUGAGGCUGCACGCACCCAGGAGUGUGGCCACGUGGGCAAACAGGCACUUGGCCAGAGAGCCUGGUGCUGCUGCUGCUGUGGCGUGAGGGUGAGGGGCUGGCACUGACUGGGCAUAGCUCCCCCCUUCCGCCUGCAUCCCUGCAGUUUGAGACAGGAGACCUGGCACCGGAUGCAGAAACAGUUCACCUUGAAGAACCUCUCACUUCACCCUGGAGCCCAUCCAGUCUCCCAGCUUGUAUCAAAGACAGAGGCAGAAGUUUGGUGGUGGUGGUGGGGGGGUAUGGUUUAGUAAUAUCCACCAGACCUUCCGAUCCAGCAGUUUGGUGCCCAGAGAGGCAUCAUGGUGGCUUCCCUGCGCCCAGGAAGCCAUAUACACAGAUGCCCGUUGCAGCAUUGUUUGUGAUAGUGAACAACUGGAAGCUGCUUAACUGUCCAUCAGCAGGAGACUGGCUAAAUAAAAUUAGAAUAUAUUUAUACAACAGAAUCUCAAAAACACUGUCGAGUAAGGAAAAAAAAGCAUGCUGCUGAAUGAUGGGUAUGGAACCUUUUUAAAAAAGUACAUGCUUUUAUGUAUGUAUAUUGCCUGUGGAUAUAUGUAUAAAUACAAUAUGCAUCAUAUAUUGAUAUAACAAGGGUUCUGGAAGGGUACACAGAAAACCCACAGCUCGAAGAGUGGUGACAUCUGGGGUGGGGAAGAAGGGUCUGGGGGAGGGUUGGUUAAAGGGAGAUUUGGCUUUCCCAUAAUGCUUCAUCAUUUUUCCCAAAAGGAGAGUGAAUUCACAUAAUGCUUAUGUAAUUAAAAAAUCAUCAAACAUGUAGAAAGAAAA
rnacentral:sRNA from 1 species